GCGGAGUCUAAACCAAUCUAUUUCUGAUUACUCUGAAUGAACCACACUCAUGAGUACAAGUUAAAUUUUCUAUAAAUAAUCGAUGUGUUUAAGAUUUCUGUGUUAAUUACAUAAAUGAUAAGUAAUAGCUCUCUGUAUUGUCGAGAUAAUAAUACAGGAAGUUUAACAAGUAGUAGGAUGUGUAUCAGCAACAAAAUCAAAACAAAAACUCUGUACAUGU
rnacentral:lncRNA from 1 species